AACCAUUCUCACCUGCGGCUAGACCUGCGGAGGGAUCAUUACCGAGUUUACAACUCCCAAACCCCUGUGAACAUACCAAUUGUUGCCUCGGCGGAUCAGCCCGCUCCCGGUAAAACGGGACGGCCCGCCAGAGGACCCCUAAACUCUGUUUCUAUAUGUAACUUCUGAGUAAAACCAUAAAUAAAUCAAAACUUUCAACAACGGAUCU
rnacentral:misc_RNA from 1 species